ACUUAGAUAGUUUUAAUUAAAAUAAUGAUUUGUGGUGUCAUAGAUAUACAUAUUAUAUUGUAUUUUAAGUU
rnacentral:tRNA from 1 species